rnacentral:rRNA from 1 species
CUGCUGCCUUCCGUAGGAGUUUGGACCGUGUCUCAGUUCCAAUGUGGCCGUUCACCCUCUCAGGUCGGCUACUGAUCGUCGCCUUGGUAGGCCGUUACCCCACCAACUAGCUAAUCAGACGCAGGCCCAUCCUUUGCCGAUAAAUCUUUGACCUCCUUGCCAUGUGACAAAAAACGUGUUAUGAGGUUUUAAAUCAUCGUUUCCAAUGGCUAUCCCUCUGCAAAGGGCAGGUUGCCUACGCGUUACUCACCCGUCCGCCG